rnacentral:sRNA from 1 species
CAAAAUAAUCUUCAAUUGACAAACCAACUUGUUAAAUUAUUGAAUUAUAAGAUAUUAAGUUAUAAAAAUGAUUUGAAAAAUAAAGUAGAAAACUUAAACAAUUUAAGUCCAACUAAUACAAUGUUGCGUGGAUAUGCAAUUGUUAAUAAAAAAGACGAAGUCAUUACGAGUACUAAAGAUUUAACAGAAAAUGAUCAAUUGACGUUAACAAUGAAAGAUGGCUUAGUAGAUGCAAAAGUUACGAAAGUAAGGUGUAAUAAUGACUAAAGAAACG